CUCCCUCUCUUUCUAUUUAUACACCUCUUUCGUUCGCACUCAUGGUUGAUUUGUCACACACUCGAGUUUGGUUCAUGAUGACCUAAAUGUUUACAUUUUGCUCUCCUUUUAUUAUUAUACCCAUCUCGCUUACGCCUAUAGAUUCACCUUGUUUGGGUGAAUAUGUGUAUGGGCAUGUGUGCACUCGUACAGGGUUUGUCUCGUUACUUUACGAUAUGAACGGCAUAUAUUAUACCGUCAUUAUUGUUUUUACAUUUCGUUUGAGUAUUUUCAUUCAAUCCCGAAGUGUUUUUAGUUCUUCAAUUUCUUCCACAUGGUUUUCGACAUGAUUUUAUUGUCAAGACGGUAGGUUUUGUCGAAAAAUGUAUAUAACAAAAUGAAACACUUUGUACAAAAUAUGCCGUUCGCAUCGCAAAGUGAAUAGGCGAGCCCUGUAUCGUUGAUCGCUGAUUUUUGGUCUGGCUGCGCAUGGAGAAGGGGUAAGAGUUCAUGCGUGAUGCGAUUAGAAGAGGGGAGAGGUUGACGAAGCCAAUCGGCUUCGUUCUAUUCACUGUGUGAUUGUUGAUCCAAAUUUGUUCUCCGCCAAUAAAUGUUGCGGAAAUUUUUAUUAGGUUUCAAGUCGUGCGAUUUGUUUUGAGCAAUUUGUGCAGGCAAUGAUUUCGUCAAUAAAAAAGGAUGCGGAUCUUUCGAUCGUCAUAAGGAUCGGCUCAGGAUAUGCCUUCAAAUACCGUUACUACAUUAACCUUCACAACGACCAUGUUCCGGACAAAAAUGGGGACGACACUGGAGCAUUUCUUUGCCUGGUUCAGCUGCGCAAUAUGUACGUGAUGCAUUUUGCUCGUUCAUGUUUUUAUUACACCUAAAACUAUCGCACUGAGCGGCCGGGAUGGGCCUCCGGCUCGAAGGGAACAAUCGACACCAACAGGAGAUCGACUACACUGUGUGAACCAUCCUGUCCAGUGCAACCAGGCAACACAACAUUUCUCUUCAGCAACAGCACCAUCAUAAUCCGUGCUAGAAGCAACUCCAACUUGUUGUCGGGAGACUAAAAGAUGCAAAAUUGAUCUUAAAUAAAAGCAAACCAAUUUGUGUAGAAUGAUGA